AGCGAACGCUGGCGGCAGGCCUAACACAUGCAAGUCGAACGAACUCUUCGGAGUUAGUGGCGGACGGGUGAGUAACACGUGGGAACGUGCCUUUUGGUUCGGAAUAACUCAGGGAAACUUGUGCUAAUACCGAAUGUGCCCUUCGGGGGAAAGAUUUAUCGCCAUUAGAGCGGCCCGCGUCUGAUUAGCUAGUUGGUGAGGUAACGGCUCACCAAGGCGACGAUCCGUAGCUGGUCUGAGAGGAUGACCAGCCACACUGGGACUGAGACACGGCCCAGACUCCUACGGGAGGCAGCAGUGGGGAAUCUUGCGCAAUGGGCGAAAGCCUGACGCAGCCAUGCCGCGUGAAUGAUGAAGGUCUUAGGAUUGUAAAAUUCUUUCACCGGGGACGAUAAUGACGGUACCCGGAGAAGAAGCCCCGGCUAACUUCGUG
rnacentral:rRNA from 1 species